rnacentral:rRNA from 2 species
UCCUACGGGAGGCAGCAGUGGGGAAUAUUGGGCAAUGGGGGAAACCCUGACCCAGCAACGCCGCGUGAGGGAAGAAGGUUUUCGGAUCGUAAACCUCUGUCCUUGGUGAAGAGAAACGGUAGCCAAGGAGGAAGCCCCGGCUAACUACGUGCCAGCAGCCGCGGUAAUACGUAGGGGGCGAGCGUUGUCCGGAAUGAUUGGGCGUAAAGGGCGCGUAGGCGGCCCGGUAAGUCUGGAGUGAAAGUCCUGCUUUUAAGGUGGGAAUUGCUUUGGAUACUGUCGGGCUUGAGUGCAGGAGAGGUAAGUGGAAUUCCCAGUGUAGCGGUGAAAUGCGUAGAGAUUGGGAGGAACACCAGUGGCGAAGGCGACUUACUGGACUGUAACUGACGCUGAGGCGCGAAAGUGUGGGGAGCAAACAGGAUUAGAUACCCUGGUAGUCCACACUGUAAACGAUGAAUGCUAGGUGUAGGGGGUAUCGACCCCUUCUGUGCCGCAGUUAACACAAUAAGCAUUCCGCCUGGGGAGUACGGCCGCAAGGUUGAAACUCAAAGGAAUUGACGG